rnacentral:tRNA from 1 species
GUAAUUAUUUUUUAGUUUAAAAAAACAUGUUUGUCAAAAAUAAAAUAAUUAAAAAUUUAUAAUUAUU